UACGUAGGGUCCGAGCGUUGUCCGGAAUCAUUGGGCGUAAAGAGCGCGUAGGCGGCCCGAUAAGUCCGCUGUGAAAGUCAAGGGCUCAACCCUUGAAUGCCGGUGGAUACUGUCGGGCUAGAGUCCGGAAGGGGCGAGUGGAAUUCCUGGUGUAGCGGUGAAAUGCGCAGAUAUCAGGAGGAACACCGGUGGCGAAGGCGGAUCUCUGGGCCAUUACUGACGCUGAGGAGCGAAAGCGUGGGGAGCGAACAGG
rnacentral:rRNA from 1 species